rnacentral:rRNA from 1 species
CCUACGGGUGGCAGCAGUCGAGAAUCUUUCUCAAUGGGGGAAACGCUGAUGCUGCGACGCCGCGUGGGGGAAUGCGGGUCUUCGGGUUGUAAACCCCUGUCAUGUGGGAGCAAAUUAAAAAGAUAGUCCCGCAAGGGGAAUAGACGGAUAAAUCUGUGCCAGCAGCCGCGGUAAUACAGAGGUCUCAAGCGGUAUUCGGAAUCACUGGGCGUAAAGCGUGCGGAGGCUGGGGCGUAAGGCGGGUGGUAAAAGCGCGGGCUCAAACCGCGGACGGCACAUGAUACUGCGAGACUAGAGUAAUGGAGGGGUAGCCGGAAUGCGCGGUGUAGCAGUGAAAUGCGUAGAUAUCGAGAGGAACACUCGUGGCGAAGGCGGGUUCCCGG